UCCUCUUCCAUCUCUGGUAGCUAUUCUCCCGGCUAUGCCAAGAUAAACAAGAGAGGAGAUAAUUCAUUAUUACUUAAGUAUGAAGUAAUCGGUGAAGUGA
rnacentral:sRNA from 1 species